UCCGGCUCUCCGUAGACUGCCUCCUGCGCCUGCGCAGGUGCCGGGACGCCGGGAUGAUAGAACGCCGGCUUUUAGAGAGUUCUCGCACCGGCUUGCUGCGCCGCGAAGUUUCCCUGGAAAAACGUGCCAGGAGACACCUUUGUGCGGAGGAGUGUAUACAUUUCUUUUGUAUUUCAGCGUCCGUUAUCUUAAAAUUUGUUCUUUUAGGUGAAAGAAUUUGAAGCUGAACAGCACGCACCAGAUUGCACGUGAUUAUAAGUCCCAGCUCCGAAUGCGAAAAGACUUUAACUCAAGACAUGGUGAAAUGAAUUGGAUACUUCCUAGUUAUUCCCGAGAAGAUGAAAUGGUUCACAUUUUCAGCUGCUUGUUGGAUGCUGGAUAAAUAUUUCUACAUGCAUACCUUACUGUCAACUCUAAUUCAGAAGCUCUAAAGGUUCUCCAAUAAAUCUGCUUCCCAAUGUAUGUCUGUUUUAGUUUCAUACUAAUACUAGUCAGGUAUCACAUUUGCUUUCCUUCGUGUUCAUUUCUUUCCUAACCAUGACGCUUGCAUCUCUAUUUUAUCAAUUCUUUGUUCAAACCAUUAUUCUAUUCAGCAAGACUAGAUCACUAUCCAUAUAGUGGCCAGAAAAAACCUUCUUAGAACAAUACACAUUACUGUCGCUCAACAAAUCUUUAGUGAUAUGCCAUCGCAGAUAAUGAUAAAGUUUAUAGUCUUUAAUUUGGAACUAACAUAUUCUGUUUUACUUCUGAACACAUUCUAAUGUGAAUCUUAUAUGCCAAAUUAAUUACCUCACCCUUCCAUCAACAUAACUUAUUUUCCCACACUGGUUCUGGAGGUUACUUUCGUCUGAAGUGAUUACUUUUUCUGUAGGGGAGACAAACUUUCUUCUACCUUCUUAGGUUCUAUGGCUGGGCCUAAGAAUAAAACUGACAUAACAGGAGGAAAAUCACACAAAUUUAUAUAGUAUUUUUAUGUGUACACGAGAGUCUUCAGAAGGAAAAUAAAGAAACGAAGAAGUUAUUAGACCCAAAGCUUAUAUACCUUUUCACACAGAUGAUAAAUUGUGGGGAUGGACAAGACAAAGGGGCUUAGCCUAGUGGCUAUUAAAUAUAUGGAGGAAACAAAUUGUGGAGAUACGGGUUAUUUUAUUAGGUUUGUAGUGGUCCAUUUCGGUAUCAAUCCCCAAUCUCUGGUGAUAGGAAUGUUCUCUUCUUGGCAGAGGGAAGGCACCUUUCAUAUAGGAAAUUUAAUGAUCAGUUUUACGUGAAAGGGGGAAGUCAGCCCUUCCUGCAUCUAUUUCUUAGUGCCUUCAGGUCAAAACAGUCAAUAUGCCGAAGUGGCAUAUUUUGGGAUGGGAUGUUCUGAACCCCUUCACUCUCUACCUUACUUAUUUAAAUCUUGUUUCCCUGUAACUCCUUUUCACCCAUCGAAUCCUCUUGAAUGCUACUAUACACUACCAAGAAUAACUGAUAAUUUAUUUGUGCAUAGUUUUGGUUUGUUUCCCAAUGAGACCAUAAAGUCUAGAAGGCUGGGUUGGGUUUUACAUUUUUUCGUUUCUUGUAUAAGUUUCUUGCACUCAACGGGUACUCAUGCAACAUCUGUGGAAUAAAAGUGAUUAAAAGAAACCAUUAA